rnacentral:rRNA from 1 species
CCUACGGGUGGCAGCAGUGGGGAAUAUUGGACAAUGGGCGCAAGCCUGAUCCAGCAAUGCCGCGUGCGUGAUGAAGGCCUUCGGGUUGUAAAGCGCUUUCGCCCGCGACGAUGAUGACGGUAGCGGGAGAAGAAGCCCCGGCUAACUCCGUGCCAGCAGCCGCGGUAAUACGGAGGGGGCUAGCGUUGUUCGGAAUUACUGGGCGUAAAGGGUGCGUAGGCGGCGCGCCAAGUCGGAUGUGAAAGCCCUGGGCUCAACCUGGGAACUGCAUUCGAGACUGGCGUGCUGGAGUCCGGGAGAGGAUGGCGGAAUUCCCAGUGUAGAGGUGAAAUUCGUAGAUAUUGGGAAGAACACCGGUGGCGAAGGCGGCCAUCUGGACCGGCACUGACGCUGAGGCACGAAAGCGUGGGGAGCAAACAGGAUUAGAUACCCCGGUAGUC